rnacentral:snRNA from 1 species
GUGCUCACUUUGGCAGCACAUAUACUAAAACUGGAAUGAUACUGAGAAGAUUAGCAUGGCCCUUGCACAAGGAUGACACAGAAAUAUAAAUUUGAUUAU